rnacentral:misc_RNA from 1 species
UCGUACAACGUGUGUGAGGCCAUGCGACGGCUGUCGCUGAACCCGCAAGGGUCGUGCACGCCGGAGUGUGUCCUCUCACAUAACAAUCCAUCUCACCCUUUGUGCACCACCGCGUGGGCACCCCUUCGGGAUCGGACCGAUCCGGGAGGGGGUUCACGUUUUCACACAAAACCCCUUUGAAAAGUGUAGAAUGACCUCGUUUAUGCAAUCAAUA